UUUAAUUUUUUACAAGAAUCUUAAAAUUUGUUGUUGCAAAAAUCAAUCGAUUUUUUUAAUGUGGUGAAUGAUGCCGUACAUUUUCUCACUGCCGAGUUGAAAGUGAAGUACUUUUAAUUGCCGUCAUAAUUGCAGUAAUUACAGUACGUUGCUGCGAGUUACCAAAGGUAGCAAUAGCUCGUGUACUGGCAUAUGUCCGUAUUGCCAUCUUAAUCCGGAACAUCAGAUUACCCUGAUUCUCUCUCCCGAACACGAGAGUUAAAGGUCUCGCGUUGGCUGGGAAGAGUGACGUCACGAAGUCAUGCUCAGACGAACAAAUUACGCUCAGACCAUGAGCAUUAAUGGUACCAUGACGGUAUGUAUGUAUGUAUGUAUGUAUGUAUGUAUGUAUGUAGUGUCGCAUACAGUAUGAUGUUGGAUAUUAUUGUCAAAUGGCGACGAUCAGUAGUAGAGAAGCAGCGUUUUUACACCGAGCAUUUAAGGGAAGUUCAUUCUUCAGUGUCCAUGCUGUGGAUGAGGUAUUGACGACCGUCAUGCAAAUUGCGAUGAGAGAGAGAGAGAGAGAGAGAGAGAGAGAGGAGACGUUUACCCCUCGUUACAUCUAUAAAUAAAAGAUUAUAUACAACGAGAAAAUACCAACAAAACGGUGAAAAAUAAUUCCAGUUGUCUACCCCAUGACCGAAGAAAACAAGAGGAAAGAAAAAGGAGAAGAAAGGAAGAAUGGAUGAAGAUAAGCGAAAUUAAUAUGCGGGAGAAGUAGUAGGAGAACAGAAUUAAUUGUGUCGUGAAUCUGCAAGAAGCGAAUUCUUUGUGGCCCAACUGGGCAAAUAUAGCCCCCUUCGUACCUGGUGCGAGAUCCAACACCGAAAUAAACCCCGACUCUCACCUGGACUACUUCGCAUGGUUAGAAGACAGAGAGAGAGAGAGAGAGAGAGAGAGAGAGAGAGAGAGAGAGCUUGUUUCAAUAGUGUAGCAUAUUGGGACGUUUGAUAAAUUGAAAUUCAUUGACGAACCAUUAUUUCUGCACUUCCGUGCUUUUGUGUGUGUGUGAGAGAGAGAGAGAGAGAGAGAGAGAGAUUAUUAUGGAAGCAUUACGUUAUAAGCACAAGAAAAAUUACGAAUUCUCCCUCAAACCAUUCUAGCUGUAUUUCAAAUCAAAUUUAACCCAUAUUUCGAAGACCGAUUUUAAUCCAAGUUACUGGAAAGAUUUUAUCAUUUUUAUCGCUUCUUUAGACCAUCUCUCCUACUAUGCAGCAGAAGACGCUUGCCAGUUACCCUCACAGCGUAAAAUUUUUAUGCCUCAAAUGAGAAUUACCUUAGAAACAGCAAGGAGCUGAUGGAAAGGUCAACUAGAGACCACCAUCUUUCAUAAUUAUAUAAUCACCUGAUCGUGGAAUAUGACGUUUGUUGCCGGGCCAUACUACGACAAGUCUAUAUCACUUAAGUGUUGCCACUCUGUUGUCACAUAUUUAUCGUUAUGAUGUGGCGUGGAAGGCUGGCGGCAUUUGAGUUGUGAUAACUCAUUGUUACAAUUAUUGUUAUUGCUCGUGUUGUUUUUUAUACCAAGCAGUGAAGGGUGUGUCUGGUUCGUAUUGCAUGUUCGCCUUUUAACAGUCUACGCAUACGAUAGGGUCCACCAGUUUCAAGUUAGCUAAUAGGACAAUUAAAGGUGAUAAGAUAUAAAUCUUUGGACAGUCUCUUAAUUGAUUGUUGACUCUCAUCGAAGAUUAUCUUUGAAUUAAAAUCUCCGAUAAAAGACAAAUGGAGAUUCUGUGAGGGCAUAUUUUUAUCUGUCUCUUCGAGUCCUCGGUCUCUAUAGAUUACAAUGACGGUAAUAGUAUAGAAGGUCUUAUGCUCUUGAUACAGUUAUAUCCAUAACGAUGUUUGAAUGGGUAAAUCUUAUAUUUAUUUUUCAAAAGGACUUAGUAUAUGUUCAUAAGACGUUCAUUUUCGUAUUUAUAUAUUUAGUUCCUGUAUAGACACAUUUAUACAUCUUAUGCACAUUUCCACUACACGUAGACAAAACUACGAGAGAAGUUAUGUUUGUUAUUCUAUUAGGCGUCGUACUAUUGCUUAGCCGCAAUGUGUGCAUUGUUUCCGAUACAUUUGUUUACAUGCAUUUUUUUUAAGAAUGACCAGUUAAUGAACUAAGGAAUAAUCUGCUAGAAGAAAAUGUUUGGGUAGUCAGUGCCAAGUCCAGAUUACAUUGCCACAUCAAUUAGAAUGUAUUUUCCUUCCUGUGUUAUUGACAACCGGUCGAGAGUGGUUUCGGAUUAUGUGAUUAUUUUGCUGGACUUGUCACCCGGUCAGAGAGAGAGAGAGAGAAGAGAGAGAGAGAGAGAGAGAGAGAGAGAGAGAGCCACGGGAAGAAUCUUGAAAUAGUUGGUGGGAGAGUAACGCAGAUGUAUCUCUGGGCAGACGUGUGGGACAAAACGUUUAUUGACAACCGCAUGAUAUUUUGGCCGCUGCGUUUUUCAGCUUUUCUCGUGUCAUCUCGAUGGGGCCAGUAGGAUUACCUCGCUAAGGCUCCGGUGAAAUUAUUAUGACGGUAUGAUGGAAUACAAUUUAACGAGGCACUUAUCACUCACUCUCGGACCCAGCGGAGUCAGCGCAAACGAUCAGCAACCAGGUUGGAGGCUGACUGCACCCAAGUAACCCCUUCCCACAGUGUAUAUUGAAUUCCCUUUCCCUACAUGAUGGAUUGCUGAUCAUUUUUCCCUGACUGAGGUGCCACGGACUCCUUGGAAAAGUGACUGGACCCUCCGGUUUCCUAUUGGACUGUCUACCGGUCUGUGAGAGAGACGGUCUUCGUUUAGAAUCCAUAAAGCAAAGCAAUGUAUGGCUGCUGGGAAACCUUCAUAGAUUGUAAUGGUUACUUACAAACGGUAAUUAUAUUAUCAUCUAAUUGCACCAAGAUUUCCUUCGGAGUUGGGAAUGUGGCCUAUGGUUUAGUUGGGAAGACGACUAGAAAGUCUGUGCUACUUGAAUGACCUCCUCUUCAGGUUUAAAUGUACUGCGAGUUGUUUAUUUUUCGCAACGAUGCCAAAUAAACGUAUCUAAUUGGAAGUUUCUUCAACCUUUCUUGCAAUAUCCUAUCCAAUACUUUUAUUACAUAAUCCUGGAAUUAAUUAUUGUUAUCUUCAAUACAACAAUGGGUCCUCAGUGCCCAUUAUAUAUACAAAUGUAUUUAUACAGGCACUUUGAUGGAACACGUGUCAACAAAAUACAGUACAUCGCAGCCAUGUUCUGGAAAAGUUAAAAUAUAUCUCGUCUUGGAUGGAUGUGGCUGUAUUAGGGAGGUUUCUUACCGAUGUAAAUAUUAAAAUUAUUUUCACAACUUUCU